CCAUCCAAUCGAAUGGGCCAGCCGAUCGGCUGGGCCGUCGGAUCGGACAGGCCAGCCGAUCGGUUGGGCCAUCCGAUCCAGGCC
rnacentral:pre_miRNA from 1 species